UUAUUUUUAAGUCAUUGGCGCAACUAUAGACCUAAAUAACAAAUGUUUGUUAUAGAAUUUCACACAUUAUUACUUAUUUGUAUGUUGUACAUUAACAACUUAUAUAUUAUUACACUCAUAAAGUAAAUAAUUUCCUUAUUAUUUCAAUAUAAAUAUAUAAUACAUAAAUACUUUACAACUCAUAAUAAGUUAUAAAUUACAUAUAUUUUAUAUUUAUCAAUAAGAUCAUUACAUGUUAUUUUAAAAUUAUUUUCCUUUUUUUCUUUGUUAAUCGUCUUAGUUGCACUGUGGUCUCUAUGUUACACUGUCCUAUAAAUGUUAGUAUUCUAUCUUAUGUGUUUUAUGUUUUGUUAAUAGGUACAUGUUUAACAUAAUUAACAGUGUAACAACAAUUCAUAACAAAAUUAAUCUGAAAGAAAAAUACUACAAGGAUUAUCAGAGAAUCUGUACAGUAACUGAACAGAAACAAUGAUCUGUUGAUGUUUUUGAAGAGGACUGUUCUCCAAAAUCAUGACUAUGUCCACAACAAAUUGGACCUUAGUACCUAUGUUGUAAAUACUGUGAAUAUUGUAAUUCAUUUAAAUUUAAUUUUCUACUUGUCCACUUACAAAAAACUAUUCAACUGGGGAAUUAAUUGUACUUAUUAUUGUAGGCGGUCUGUUAUUGUUCAAUGUUAUAAAUUAUAAUAUUCCUUUUAUUAUUAAAUUAUGUAAUUUAUUAAGUUUAUUGUUAUUGAAUUAUUUUAUUUAUAAAAUUUACUGUUAUUUAAUUAUAUUAUUAUUAAGUGAGUAACUACCAGUAAAAAAUUAUACUUUAUUUUUUCAAAAAUGAUGAUUUUAAAAUAAAUUAUAGAGUUAAUAAACUAA